GAUUUCGCAGGGCGUCUUGCCGCCCGUCGGCGCCGCUGGCGGUGGCGCGGCGACCGGCGGCGUGACCGGUUCGGCCCCCGGUUGGGGUUC
rnacentral:tRNA from 1 species